AGGCGCCCUUGGGCUCCAUACCUGAUGUGGGACUUCAACUCAUGACCUUGCAAGACUUGUGUAUUCCACUGACUGAGCCAGCCAGCAUUCAUGCUGCUUU